AGGGAUCCCCUUUCUCCACAUCCUCUCCAGCAAUUGUUGUUUCUUCCCUUGUCAAUUUUUGCCAUUCUAACUGGCAUAAGGUGGUAUCUCAGUGUGGUUUUGAUUUGAAUUUC